UACGUAGGGGGCUAGCGUUGUCCGGAAUCAUUGGGCGAAAGCGCGUGUAGGCGGCCCGGUAAGUCCGCUGUAAAAGUCGGGGGCUCAACCCUCCGAAAGCCGGUGGAUACUGUCGGGCUAGAGUACGGAAGAGGCGAGUGGAAUUCCUGGUGUAGCGGUGAAAUGCGCAGAUAUCGGGAGGAACACCUAUGGCGAAGGCAGCUCGCUGGGACGUUACUGACGCUGAGGAGCGAAAGCAUGGGGAGCGAACAGG
rnacentral:rRNA from 1 species